rnacentral:rRNA from 1 species
CCUACGGGAGGCAGCAGUGGGGAAUAUUGCACAAUGGGGGAAACCCUGAUGCAGCGACGCCGCGUGAGUGAAGAAGUAUUUCGGUACGUAAAGCUCUAUCAGCAGUGAAGAAAAUGACGGUACCUGACUAAGAAGCCACGGCUCACUCCGUGCCAGCAGCCGCGGUACUACGUAGGGGGCAAGCGUUAUCCGGGUUUCCUGGGUGUAAAGGGAGCGUAGACGGCAGCGCAAGUCUGGAGGGAAUUCCCAUGUCUUAACCAUGGAACUGCUUUGGAAACUGUGCAGCUGGAGUGCAGGAGAGGUAAGCGGAAUGCCUAGGGUAGCGGUGAAAUGCGUAGAUAGUAGGAGGAACACCAGUGGCGAAGGCGGCUUACUGGACUGUAACUGACGUUGAGGCUCGAAAGCGUGGGGAGCAAACAGGAUUAGAUACCCCAGUAGUC